CGCGCAGGCGGCUCGUUAAGUCCAAGGUGAAAUCCCACGGCUCAACUGUGGGGGGACCCUGGAUACUGGCGAGCUGGAGUGCGGGAGAGGGAAGCGGAAUUCCACGUGUAACGGUGAAAUGUAUAGAUAUGUGGAGGAACACCGGUGGCGAAGGCGGCUUCCUGGACCGUAACUGACGCUGAGGCGCGAAAGCUGGGGGAGCGAACA
rnacentral:rRNA from 1 species